ACGCUGGCGCAGGCUAACACCUGCAAGUCUGAACUGGUAACAGGAAGCAGACUUGCUGCUUCGCUGACGAGUGGCUGGACGUGGGUGAGUAAUGUCUGGGAAGACUGCCUGAUGGGGGGGGAUAACUACUGGAAACGGUAGCUUAAUACCGCAUAACAGUCGGCAAGACCAAAGAGGGGGACCUUCUGGGCCUCACACCAUCGAAGAUGUGCCCAGAUGUGGAUUAGCUUGUUGGUGGAGGUAACGGCUCACCAAGGCGACGAUCCCGUAGCUGGUCUGAGAGGAUGACCAGCCAGCACUGGCAACUGAGACACUGUCCAGACUCCAUACAGGGAGGCAGCAGUGGGGAAUAUUGCACAAUGGGCUGCAAGCCUGAUGCACGCCAUGCCGCGUGUAUGAAGAAGGAGCCUUCGGGUUGUAAAGUACUUUCAGACAGGGGAGGAAAGGGAGUAAAGUUAAUACCCUUUGCUGCAGAAGAAGCACCGGCUAACUCCGUGCCAGCAGCCGCGGUAAUACGGAGGGUGCAAGCGUUAAUCGGAAUUACUGGGCGUAAAGCGCACGCAGGCGGUUUGUCAAGUCAGAUGUGAAAUCCCCGGGCUC
rnacentral:rRNA from 1 species